rnacentral:tRNA from 1 species
AAUGAAGUGCCUGAAAAAAAGGAUUAUUUUGAUGUGAUAAAUUAUGUUUUAAAAACCUUCAUUU